GACGAACGCUGGCGGCGUGCUUAACACAUGCAAGUCGAACGGAAAGGCCCUGCUUUUGUGGGGUGCUCGAGUGGCGAACGGGUGAGUAACACGUGAGUAACCUGCCCUUGACUUUGGGAUAACUUCAGGAAACUGGGGCUAAUACCGGUUAGGAGCUCCUGCUGCAUGGUGGGGGUUGGAAAGUUUCGGCGGUUGGGGAUGGACUCGCGGCUUAUCAGCUUGUUGGUGGGGUAGUGGCUUACCAAGGCUUUGACGGGUAGCCGGCCUGAGAGGGUGACCGGCCACAUUGGGACUGAGAUACGGCCCAGACUCCUACGGGAGACAGCAGUGGGGAAUAUUGCACAAUGGGCGGAAGCCUGAUGCAGCAACGCCGCGUGCGGGAUGACGGCCUUCGGGUUGUAAACCGCUUUCGCCUGUGACGAAGCGUGAGUGACGGUAAUGGGUAAAGAAGCACCGGCUAACUACGUG
rnacentral:rRNA from 1 species